UUUAACUGUAUUAUUACUUCAUCUCUCCCUAAUAAUAAACCACGCAUUGCUUCUGGUCGUACGUUGUCGGUGCUUUUGCAUAAAAGUCCCUUCGUUUUUUAGAAGUUAACCCACAGUCCUCCUAAUAUGUCAAACCGAACCGGUACGGGCGAUGGAAAAGGAAAAAAACACGCUUACCUCCCCCAUCUCCACCUCCAGCGCGCCGCCGCAGUCGGUCCUCACCCGUCCGCCGCACGCCGCCACCGCCCCUCCGCCGUGCGCCAUCCCCACCCCUGCGGCUUUCCACCACAGGCGACACUCGACGCCGGCGCCGCACCUUCCCCCAACUCCUCUCUCUCCUCCUCCUUCGCCGUCACCGCUCUUCAUCAGCCAGCAGACUCCGUCGAAAUGGCAGGCGGCGCUGGAGUUCACCGGAACGGGUAGGCGGCCGGCGGGCGGAGCGAGGAAGAUGGCGGAUCCGGGCGCGGCGUCGAGGGUUCAGGCGGCUGGUGCGGCAGCUUGCUCCGAUGGCGACGGUGUCCUGCUCAUCCAGAGAAAGAGAGAGACAUGGCGUGAGGGAGAGAGGAAAGAUAGGAAGAAAUGAGAAGGAGAAGGGGCGCAGGGCGAGGGAGGCAGUCGCCGGCGGUGGCGCCGCUCUGCCGCUGCAUCUCUCUUCCCCCACGUCCCUACUGCUGCUCCUCUAACUCCAUCUCUCUGCUGUCGAUUCUCUGUCCGCUGCUACCUCUCCUCUAUGCUCCUUGCUGCCUGUGGCUGUCCCAUCUCUCCUAGCGCUGCUGCUGCUGCACUUCUUCUGAAGCUCUUCUCAAACCCGUUGAUGCAGUUCUUCUCUGAACUCCAACCUGCUGCUGCUUCUCUCUCUCUCAAUUUUUCUGUAAUUCUGUGAACCAUUGUUGAGCGAUUAUAUGAUUUGUGGUAUUUGCUUGAGUGAACCUGUAAGGUUUGUACCUUCUGGAAAGUGCUAGCACCUACAUAUUAUCCAAUUUUUUCUAAAUGUCAUGAGGCAUGAGCCAUAAUUUUUCUCAAGAACGACCCUUGGUAUAUGUAAGGCAUGCAUACAAUUUGAAUAACACUCUUUUUGCUCUCAUUUAUCUGUUGGCAUAGAGCAUCGUAUAAUAUAGAAGAGUCAUUCAAAAUAUUGGUUGCCUGAUUUAUUCAUAAGAAGAUUCUUCUAUGUAUUUAGUUACAUGAUUUUAAUUUGAUCGUCUUCUUUCAACUUUUUUUUGCUGAGUAUGAUAUUUCCUUAGGUUCACCUUGACCUUCACUGCUCUUGUGUAAAAGCUUAAGUAAAUUGAUGUUGUAUCAUCAGAAUCUGUACCCUUGCACAGUUUUUUUUGUCUGUACAUACACUUUAAUUUCUUGCUCGCACUGAAAUCCCUCUUUGUCACAGGAUGAAUCAGAAACUGAAGAUGAUGAUCCCAUGGACACAGAAGAAGCUUCCUCUGUCCUCAUCGCUGCACUGCAGUCUUUCAGCCAAGCUCUGGUGAACUUUGAAAUCCAGUUUAGAGAAUUGCUCAUGACUUGACAUAAAUCAUUCUUAUGAGCACAUCGUUUGAUUCUAUUACUAGGUCCGUCAACUUCAACUACCAUGUGGAAGUGGAACUAUUGUUGUCUGUCAGUUAAGACAGUCGGGAACUUGGUGUUGUCAUUCCUGGCUAUUGUAUUAGGAUACUAGCAGCACUUACAUGCAAAUAUGCUUGUGAUUCUAACGAUAGUACACUAGGUGAUUGAUGUGUGGGUCGCUCAAGUCCUGUGGGGUGCUGGGCGAAAGGUGUUCCAUAUACAUGAACCAUAAACUGGAAUUGAAAUUAUUCUCCGCACGCACAAGUAAAACCUAUGCAAAGUGAACAAUCUCACGGUUGCAGCUUAUAUUCAGUACUUCUUCAUUACAACUGUCGGUUUCAAAGCAUUUUCUUUCUCUAAUUCUGCAACUUUAUAAACUGCAACUCAGUUUUGCUCACAAAUGUUUUGCUCCUCAUAAAACUAAUUUUCUACUAACUGAUUUUCGUAUUUCCAUUAUAGCUUAUUCAUUACCAUGGUCAAGGAAUUAUCAGCGUUUUUUCUGACUUGGUCAACUUACCCUUGCAGUAAUCUGCCAUAAAAGAUAGAAUGUAAGAAAGGGUCUACUUUAGCAGUUGAGAUCAAAGAUGCUACUCCAAGCUAUAUAUGAAACCAAAUCAGGUGGGCUCGAUGACAAAGAGGUAAUAAGAGAUGAACCCUUCCAGUAUAAAAAGUUGAUGGUCCUAAUUAGUUUAUGGCUUAUUUCUUGAUCGCUUUAAUUUACACGACAUCUCCAGGGCUUUUCAUGUUGUGUGGUAAUAUAUUUGAUUAUAGUCACAGCUUACGCAAGAUGAUUAUUUACGUUCCUAAUUUAUCUUCCUCUAUCAUGGUGGUAGGGAAAUAUCGCCGUUAGUUUGCCUGAGAUAGAAGGACUUCACAUAAUUUUGUCAAUAGCAUUGAUCAGGAUAUCUUUUUUCUUAUUCCUUUCUAUUUGUAGACAAGGAAGAACCAAUAGAGACUUCGAUCCUUACACUGUAGCAGUACCUGAAGCAGAGCAAACCGCUAUCUCAAAUUUAAUAGUAGAUGGAAAGGAAUGGUUGUUUUUGUUGCAGGUUACUCCAAGAACAAGUGCAUUAUCAAGCUAGAUGGUUUAUAUUAUCCGUCCAUAAUCUGGAUGCUUGUGUAUCCUGCGACUUGGUUCAUCCAGGAGAUAUUUGUGUUCAAACACAAGUGUGGGCUGCUUGCAGGGUAGAGCAUAAUUGGAUUUUAAAGCCAUUUAUAAUGUCCUGCAAAACUAUAAGUUUGAACAAAGAAACCACUUCAACUAGCCUAGGGCUAUGUCUAUUAGUCCUCCAGUAUUUCUUGGAAUGAGAUAACACAUGUUUCUUCAAGUGUCUACACACUACAUGAAGUAAGUUUCUUAUAGAAGUAGUCAAACCUGGAUACCAAUUUAUUGGAACAUUAUAUUUCUUAUAGAAGUAGUCAAACAACGAUAUCAAUUUAUUGGAACCAUCAAGGAAGAGACACUCCCGGAGGGUCAGAAGUAAUGCAAUAUAUUCUCCCUCUUAUGCCUAUUUGAAAUACAGUUGUAGGGUUGUCCUUUGCCACUCAUAUUGCAGUACUCAACUGUAGCAUGGAUGGAGCAGGAAAGUGUGCUAAACCUUCUAACAUGGACACUGCACUUGUAUGAGCUACGGGCCACUAUUGUUUGUCAUAUGGAUUGUAGAUGUAGUGGUAAUGUACCACAUUUUUCUUUUAGUAAGGAUGAUAUGUUAUACGGAGUAUAACAAUCUGGUUGCCGUGACCUUCCUAUUGUCCGUAGAGCCAGAAGAAAAAUAGAAUAAAAAUUUUCAUUAGACAAAUAAUAGAAUUGGUGAUUGAAUAUCACAUGGCUGUAAUUUUAUAUCUAUGUGGGAGCUUGACGUAAGAGUACAUGCAGAGUAUACAAGUGAAAGACAUUAUUUAUUUACAGGCGUUAUUACCAGAGUUUUUUUU